CUUAUCUCAACCAAUAGAUUUGGUUAUAAGACUGCUCUCUGUUCGCUCUUCUAAUCUUGACUUAUUUCUUGGGAAGUUCCCGCUGGCAGUGUUUUUACUGAUAAGGGAAAAACUGAUUUGUUUUUAUAAAGAUUCCCUCAUUUUAAAAGGUUUUCUUAAAGCGUCCACAACAUGAAGCUACUAUUGAUAUAUUUAACACUGAUUUUAACUCUAUACUGCUCAUUAGUGGCUUGCGAUUGUUUGACGGAUCCCCUCACAAUGCUAUGCAUUUUGAACCCAAAUCAGGGCAAGUAACUUCAUAUAUCCCUCUUCAAUAAAGUCCAAAAGUAGAACACGAUGUGGGCUUCUGUAUCCUAAGUAAUUCAACAGUCUCCCCAGACUGAGUUACGUGUGGCAAAUCGCAUUAAACAUUCCACGCCCCCUACGCCUACACACUCGCAGACAUCUUUUUUAUUUGGGCUGAUACCCUGGCAGAGGGUAUAUUUAUUGUAUUAUGAAGUUUAUUACUUUGGAUAAUUAUCAGUCUGUAUUUUAAUCAAUAUUUUGAAGAACUUUUAAAAAUUUUGCACUGAUCACCCAUUUUAAAUCAAAAAUAAUUAUAAUUUAAUUUAUAUUAUAAAGAUCAUUUUGGACGACGAUAUGUCGAAUUGUGGAUAAAAAGAGUAAAUAAAAAAUUUGCAAAUGCUAUCUUA